rnacentral:lncRNA from 1 species
UCCAAUGCUUGAUGCCUUGCUGUUGCUACAGCCAACCAAAAAAGAAAGCAGCUUUCCGCAGCUUCUACUGUUGAUUAGAGGGCCAUAUUGCUACAUAAGAAAAAGGACCAUAAAUCAAUGCCCUUCUCUAAUAUAAGGGGCCCUCCUCAGGAUUCCUGCCUACGUCGGAGCCACAGCUGCAAGUCCUCCCACCAUAGCCAAUCUACAAUCAUGUUGAACUGUUUGCCCUAUCAUAUAAAGAGCCCUUUAUGCACUGUGGCUGUGCUUGCCAUUCUUUUGCACCCAUGUGUCCUGAUGCAUAAAAGGUAC